UUAAAAAAAAAAAAAGUUUCAGCAACAGAGGAAGAGAAAGAAGAAGAAAAAAAGACAAACCAAGUGAACCAAUACAAUUACUUAAUUUAAUGAUUAAGAGCUUAUCAUUCCAGAGAAACAAAACCAGCCUGACCAAAAUCUUAAAAAAGUUAAAUUUUCAACUCUGUUUCCUCAUUUUCAGCCUAAAUCAAAAUCUCAAGAAAUUCCAGCAGCACAACAAUGAGCAUAAAAGUAACAUUCCCAAUGAAGUACAAUAACAUCAAGAUCCCAUCCUAAAUGAUCAGAUCCAAUACAAAACACAUAACAGAUCCGCACAAAACCAACAAAAGCGUGAUCAGUUUCCAAAAUCCAAUAGAACGAAAGUAUGACGAGUAUGAUUUGCAACAGCAAUCCUAAUUCUAGCUUCUUAAAGCAGAGAUCCAAGUUCAAUUAAGCAAGAAAUGUGAACUGAUCAAAGCUAAAUAGCAGAAUAAAAAAAAUA
rnacentral:misc_RNA from 1 species